AAAUCUUAUCUGAUUCAGGAUCAAUUUAUCGGUUACACUCCCCUAUCACCAGUGAUUCUUUGUGAACUGACAUUCUGAAAAAGGGCAAGAACAUUAAAGAUAAAGGGAAACUAUAAACAAAAGAAAUUAUCAACAAAAAUAGAUUUACAGACGUCAACAAAGCCUAAAUGGUCAGACAUCUUGAUUUUCAUGAUCAUCAUUCAACAGGUCAAUACUGAACAGCAAACUUAAAGUUGAUAUUUUUCUACAUAGUGUGACUUUUUUAUUAAUUUGAAAUGGAAUGUGUUUUUUUUCCUACAUAAGAAAGAGGAAAUUUCAACAUAAUGACUAUAAACAAAAAGGAGUCAUAUCAUCAUGAUCAUAGAUGCUCAAGAACUUAAUCAUGUAAAUGCAACAACGUAAUUAUCAAUUGAAAGAAAGGAGGAAUGAAAAAAUAUAUUAGUAUUUUGUUGUCCAAAUGAACUUGCUUUGUCCACUCAUUUAAAUUGCUCCAUCCAAUAAAGAUGUACGGAGGAAGAUUUUUGAAGAACAGAUUGCAAAAAUGUUUUGUCUAAGAAUUGUAGGAGUAUUCUAGUGGAUGAAAUAAUUUAUUUACUUGACUCUUAUAUAGUGGACUGAAUAAUUGUUCAUAGCAAGCUGAAACAAGAAAACUAAAAAUUAACAGGAAAAGUGUUUAUUUUAUAAAUUUACAAAUAUAAAUGUAAUAUUAUGAACACCACAAAGGAAUAAGAUUCAAAUCGUUUGCAUAUUCAUGUAUUGCAAUGGAACUAUAACAAAGAAAACUUUACCUCAUGAAAAGAGUAAACUAUUAACUGUGCUUUGUCAAUUUAUUCAGUCAGAAUAUGAAAUAUUUUUUUCAGUUCUAUUUUUCAUAAUAAAACAAAGAAGACAAAGAU